ACGAUCACUAUAUAUAAUUCAAAAUCCGCAGAAAAGGAUCAGUAUUCGGCUUAACGUAUAGGUAGUGGCAUUAAGCAACGCGUUGAUAAUACAUAUCUGAAGCAUUACAGUAAUAAUUUUUAAAGAAUCGAAUUGAAGAUACUUUAUACGUACAAUGCUGGCCAUUAAAACCUAUUUUUUCAUGCUGUUGGUUGUAGUAUUACAAUUUUAUGCUGUUAAAUAUACUGUUGUUGUUGCUCCAGGCGGUAUCUUUGGCUCGGUCUGGACUGAUCCCACCGGUUACGAUGCUGAUACUGAGAAAAAAUAGAUAUUAGGAAAAAAUCGGUAUGUCAACUUUUUCAUAUAAAUUUACAAACCUUUAUUUUUUACAAAAAUAAACAUUAUAAUUGUCAGCAUGAUUAUAUUAAUAAUAAUUAUGAUGUUUAUAAUAAUUAUUAAGAAAAAUAAUCUAAAGAAGCUUUCUCGUAGUUCAAAAAUAAAUUACUAUAUUUUCUUCAAAAUAACCAAAGCAAUUUUAUUCUCUAAUAAAUUAAUUACAAUUUAAGUACAUAUUUAUUUAUUCAUUUUUUAGAAUUAACUAUCUACCUAAUUUAAUAAUUUUCAAAAAAAAAAAAAAAAAAUACGUAUAUCAUAUUAUGUAAUACAUUAUAUUUCUCUG